rnacentral:lncRNA from 1 species
UGAUGAUGAGGCCAUGGACAUCGACACUGGUUCAACAACGACAGAUAGUAGUUCAAGAGGCGCAACUCCACCAAGGUUUCUGGUAAGAAUAAUGCAAGAGCAUGAAGCCGUGUUGUUGUUCGAGAAGAAGCUGGAGUUAUCGGACGUGGCGGAGGAGCAGAACGAGGUGGUGAUCUCGGGAGGCGAGAGGGUGAUGGCGGCUCUGACGGAAGAAGAGAGAGGGAGGGUAGAGAGAGAAGGGUUCAUUGAGGUAAGCACAAUGGAUCCACGUGAAAACGAGUACAGCAUGAGCA